rnacentral:rRNA from 1 species
ACUCAAAUGAAUAGACGGGGGCCCGCACAAGCGGCGGAGCAUGUUGCUUAAUUCGACGCAACGCGAAGAACCUUACCAAGGUUUGACAUGGCCGGAAAAGCCGCAGAGAUGUGGUGUCCUUCGGGGUCGGUCACAGGUGGUGCAUGGCUGUCGUCAGCUCGUGUCGUGAGAUGUUGGGUUAAGUCCCGCAACGAGCGCAACCCUCGUCCUAUGUUGCCAGCGGGUAAUGCCGGGGACUCAUGGGAGACUGCCGGGGUCAACUCGGAGGAAGGUGGGGAUGACGUCAAGUCAUCAUGCCCCUUAUGUCUUGGGCUGCAAACAUGCUACAAUGGCCGGUACAGAGGGCUGCGAACUCGCGAGAGUAAGCGAAUCCCGGAAAGCCGGUCUCAGUUCGGAUCGGGGUCUGCAACUCGGCCCCGUGAAGCUGGAGUCGCUAGUAAUCGCGGAUCAGCAACGCCGCGGUGAAUACGUUCCCGGGCCUUGUACACACCGCCCGU